rnacentral:rRNA from 1 species
AUGCCUGUUACUGUGGCAUCAACUAAAAGAAGUUUUUCAAAGUUGAAAUUGUUGAAGAACUACGUGAGAUCUACAAUGUUGCGAGAGAGGUUAAAUGGGUUGGCAACUUUAUGCAUUGAGAAAAAAUUGCUUGAUGAAAUUGAUAUUGAUACUAUCAUUACCGAUUUUGCAUCUCAUAAUAUUAGGAGAAACUUUUGA